rnacentral:rRNA from 1 species
AAGGAUCAUUGUCGAAACCUGCCCAGCAGAACGACCAGCGAACAUGUUUAUCAAUCAUGGGUGUGGGGCGGUGCAUGGUGCCUAGUGUGCCCCCCUCACCCAAGCCCGGGGGCACUCAUUGUGGGGUGCUUCCUUGGCUAACCAACAAACCCCGGCGCGUAAUGCGUCAAGGAACAGAAAAUCAAAGUGCGCUCCCUUGCCCGGUCAGCCGGUGCAUGGGUGUGGUGUCAUGUAAUAACAUUAAACGACUCUCGGCAACGGAUAUCUCGGCUCUCGCAUCGAUGAAGAACGUAGCGAAAUGCGAUACUUGGUGUGAAUUGCAGAAUCCCGUGAACCAUCGAGUUUUUGAACGCAAGUUGCGCCCGAAACCUUUGGUUGAGGGCACGUCUGCCUGGGCGUCACGCAUCGCGUCUCCCCCACCUCCACCUCAUGGGGGAGGAUGAUGGCUUCCCGUGCCUCACCCGGCAUGGCUGGCUUAAAAUUGGAGCCCACGGCAUUGAGCUGUCGCGGCGAUAGGUGGUGAACUAGGCCUUGGCCGAGCAAACAACCCGUCGUGUAGCACCUUGCCAAUGUGUGCCCGAAGGACCCAGUGAUGUUGCCUUGUUGCAACUCAAACCGUUGCGACCCCAGGUCAGGCGGGGCUA